GUCUGUCUCAACUCACAGGGCUGGGGUGAACUGUCUCAACUCACAGGGCUGGGCUGGGUGAACUGUCUCAACUCACAGGGCUGGUCGAACCGUCUGUCUCAACUCACAGGGCUUUGUUUUCUCUUUUAAGUGGGACUUGACUGUUGGUUGUCCACAACCUGUCUGGACCACAGGAGUGGUGGGAGGCUUUAGACUGACAGUCAUGCGGUGUUUUUUGUUGUAAAGACCAAUCAGAGUUUUGAAAACAAAACUUUGGAAGACCACUUGAACAACCAAUGGGCUGAGAGAUUGGAGACUAGGGGGAGGGGGGCGUGGUCUAAGCUGGAGAUGUGAUUCGCCGGUGCCCCGUCGACACUAUUUAAUUUGUUUGUUCUUUUUUUUUGUAUUACAAACUUUAUGGAUUUAAACAAGGAAACACAACAUUUCGUUCUAAUGGCAUAUUUAAAACAAUAUAUGAGAGAGAAACAACCCCCCUUCUUUCUCUUGUCUCUCCAUCCUCUCCUCCCUCCAUCCUCCCCUCCAUCCUCUCCUCUCUCCAUCCUCUCCUCCCUCCAUCCUCUCCUCUCUCCAUCCUCUCCUCCCUCCAUCCUCUCCUCCCUCCAUCCUCCCCUCCAUCCUCUCCUCCCUCCAUCCUCUCCUCUCUCCAUCCUCUCCUCUCUCCAUCCUCUCCUCCCUCCAUCCUCUCCUCUCUCCAUCCUCUCCUCUCUCCAUCCUCUCCUCCCUCCAUCCUCUCCUCUCUCCAUCCUCUCCUCCCUCCAUCCUCUCCUCUCUCCAUCCUCUCCUCCCUCCAUCUCUCCUC
ensembl:lncRNA